ACUGAAACAUCUAAGUACCCCGAGGAAAAGAAAUCAACCGAGAUUCCCCCAGUAGCGGCGAGCGAACGGGGAGGAGCCCAGAGCCUGAAUCAGCAUGUGUGUUAGUGGAAGCGUCUGGAAAGGCGCGCGAUACAGGGUGACAGCCCCGUACACAAAAGCGCAUAUGCUGUGAGCUCGAUGAGUAGGGCGGGACACGUGGUAUCCUGUCUGAAUAUGGGGGGACCAUCCUCCAAGGCUAAAUACUCCUGACUGACCGAUAGUGAACCAGUACCGUGAGGGAAAGGCGAAAAGAACCCCGGCGAGGGGAGUGAAAAAGAACCUGAAACCGUGUACGUACAAGCAGUGGGAGCCCCACCACUAAGCCAGUGGUGAACUCCACAUACGCAUCCUUUGCUGAGGAUACGGUUAACGGAGCGAAAGCGACGUUCAACCGCAAAAGAAGCAGAGGGGGCUUAGUGGUGGGGUGACUGCGUACCUUUUGUAUAAUGGGUCAGCGACUUAUAUUCUGUAGCAAGGUUAACCGAAUAGGGGAGCCGGAGGGAAACCGAGUCUUAACCGGGCGUUAAGUUGCAGGGUAUAGACCCGAAACCCGGUGAUCUAGCCAUGGGCAGGUUGAAGGUUGGGUAACACUAACUGGAGGACCGAACCGACUAAUGUUGAAAAAUUAGCGGAUGACCUGUGGCUGGGGGUGAAAGGCCAAUCAAACCGGGAGAUAGCUGGUUCUCCCCGAAAGCUAUUUAGGUAGCGCCUCGUGAAUUCAUCUCCGGGGGUAGAGCACUGUUUCGGCUAGGGGGCCAUCCCGGCUUACCAACCCGAUGCAAACUGCGAAUACCGGAGAAUGUUAUCACGGGAGACACACGGCGGGUGCUAACGUCCGUCGUGAAGAGGGAAACAACCCAGACCGCCAGCUAAGGUCCCAAAGUCAUGGUUAAGUGGGAAACGAUGUGGGAAGGCCCAGACAGCCAGGAUGUUGGCUUAGAAGCAGCCAUCAUUUAAAGAAAGCGUAAUAGCUCACUGGUCGAGUCGGCCUGCGCGGAAGAUGUAACGGGGCUAAACCAUGCACCGAAGCUGCGGCAGCGAACGUAUCACUUAAAGCGAUUCAGCGGGUUACGAUUGACGGAGCGAAGCGACGUCAAAGCGUAUACAAAGUCGAGUCGGUUUAAGGAUACGUUCGUUGGGUAGGGGAGCGUUCUGUAAGCCUGUGAAGGUGGCCUGUGAGGGUUGCUGGAGGUAUCAGAAGUGCGAAUGCUGACAUAAGUAACGAUAAAGCGGGUGAAAAGCCCGCUCGCCGGAAGACCAAGGGUUCCUGUCCAACGUUAAUCGGGGCAGGGUGAGUCGACCCCUAAGGCGAGGCCGAAAGGCGUAGUCGAUGGGAAACGGGUUAAUAUUCCCGUACUUGGUGUUACUGCGAAGGGGGGACGGAGAAGGCUAUGUUGGCCGGGCGACGGUUGUCCCGGUUUAAGCGUGUAGGUGUGUGUUCCAGGUAAAUCCGGUUCACUUUAACACUGAGGCGUGA
rnacentral:rRNA from 1 species